AAUACGGGGGGAGCAAGCGUUGUUCGGAUUUACUGGGCGUAAAGGGCGCGUAGGCGGCCUCCGCAAGUCAAUUGUGAAAUCUCCGGGCUUAACUCGGAAAGGUCAACUGAUACUGCGGGGCUAGAGUGCGGAAGGGGCAACUGGAAUUCUCGGUGUAGCGGUGAAAUGCGUAGAUAUCGAGAGGAACACCUGCGGCGAAGGCGGGUUGCUGGGCCGACACUGACGCUGAUGCGCGAAAGCUAGGGGAGCGAACGGGA
rnacentral:rRNA from 1 species